UACAAGAAACUCUUGAUUGAGGCCAUCUUGUAAUUUGGGUAGAGGGGUGAAAUUUACACUCACAUUUCGAUGCGUUUGCCGGGAGAUGGUGCUUCUAAUGGCUAUGUGUGGAAGUGAAGUUGCUUGUUGUAAUUGAUUGUGCUUGGUUUUGUUGUGUGAGCAAUUCAAGUAGCUCUUCAUCAUUGGUAAGAAUUCUACAACUCUUCAUUAUUAGUGGAACCAAAGCAUUUAUAUUUCUUACGUUACAAGAU
rnacentral:lncRNA from 1 species